AUUGAACGCUGGCGGCAGGCCUAACACAUGCAAGUCGAGCGGUAACAGAGAUUAGCUUGCUAAUCUGCUGACGAGCGGCGGACGGGUGAGUAAUGCAUAGGAAGUUGCCCAGUAGAGGGGGAUACCAGUUGGAAACGACUGUUAAUACCGCAUGAUCUCUUUGGAGCAAAGCAGGGGACCUUCGGGCCUUGCGCUACUGGAUACGCCUAUGUGGGAUUAGUUUGUUGGUGGGGUAAUGGCUCACCAAGGCGACGAUCCGUAGCUGGUCUGAGAGGAUGAUCGGCCACACUGGGACUGAGACGCGGCCCAGACUCCUACGGGAGGCAGCAGUGGGGAAUAUUGCACAGUGGGCGAAAGCCUGAUGCAGCCAUGCCGCGUGUAUGAAGAAGGCCUUCGGGUUGUAAAGUACUUUCAGUUGUGAGGAAGGUUGUGUAGUUAAUAGCUGCAUAAUUUGACGUUAGCAACAGAAGAAGCACCGGCUAACUCCGUG
rnacentral:rRNA from 1 species